rnacentral:misc_RNA from 1 species
UCUCCGUAGGUGAACCUGCGGAGGGAUCAUUACUGAGUGAGGGCUCACGCCCGACCUCCAACCCUUUGUGAACGCAACUAGUUGCUUCGGGGGGCGACCCUGCCGUUCGCGGCGUGGGGCCCCCGGAGCCCAUCAAACCCUGCUUAACUAAGUCGUCGGAGUUUAAACAAAUUAAACAAAACUUUCAACACCUGAUCUCUUGGUUCGGGCAUCGAUGAAGAACGCAGC